rnacentral:rRNA from 1 species
AAGAUCAUAAAACUUAAGCUCUGAUCGUAAAACAAAGAUUAGAACUCCGAAGUUAAGCGUGCUUGGGCGAGAGCAGUACUAGGAUGGGUGACCCCCUGGGAAGUCCUCGUGUUGAUCA